rnacentral:misc_RNA from 1 species
GUAAGCAUUCUAAGUGAUGGGUCUGUUGUUGUUGAAGUUGGGGGAAUAGAGCUGGGCCAGGGGCUCUGGACAAAGGUAAAACAGAUGGCUGCAUUUGGUCUUGGUUCAAUCAAAUGUGUCGGAGUUGGAGACCUCUUGGACAAAGUGCGAGUCAUAGAAUCCAAUACCUUGAGUUUAAUUCAAGGGGGGUUUACUUCUGGGAGCACUACCUCUGAGUCAAGCUGUGAAGCAGUUAGAAUGUGCUGUAAAACCUUGGUUGACAGACUGACACCUCUAAAGGAAAGGUUGCAAGCGCAAAUAGGUUCUGUAAAAUGGGACAUGCUUAUUCGCCAGGCCUAUUUGGAAGCUGUGAACUUAUCA